CCGGUGAUAGCUCAGUUGGUAGAGCGGCAGACUGUAGAAGUCGCAGACAUCUGUUGGUCUGCGGUUCGAUUUCGGGUCACCGGA
rnacentral:tRNA from 1 species